rnacentral:rRNA from 1 species
GACGUAGGGGGCCAGCGUUGUUCGGAAUUACUGGGUGUAAAGGGUUCGUAGGCGGUGUGGCAAGUCAGACGUGAAAUCCCUCGGCUUAACCGGGGAACUGCGUCUGAUACUGGAUGGCUUGAGUUUGGGAGAGGGACGCGGAAUUCCAGGUGUAGCGGUGAAAUGCGUAGAUAUCUGGAGGAACACCGGUGGCGAAGGCGGCGUCCUGGACCAACACUGACACUGAGGAGCGAAAGCCAGGGGAGCAAACGGG